AAGAAAGUGGCAGAGUGGUUAUGUUACUGGCUUGAAACCAGUAUACGGGGGUUCAAUUCCCUCCUUUCUCG
rnacentral:tRNA from 1 species